AUAUCGAGGUGGCUGUCCCCACCCUUCCAACAGUUAUAUGCUUUCUUCUGAGAGUUGCCCACUCCAUUAAAGAGUAUGGAAUUCCCAGACAAAGAAGGACCAUUUGGUCAUAGGUACAAGAGUAGCUUCACUCCCCUGCUGGAACCUCCACACAAGCUCUCUAGAUCCAUUUGCACUCUGCUUGGUAUUCAAAUCUUGGCUCGGUCAUUUACUACCUGUAUGAGGUUGACCAAGUUGCUUUAACCUAUCUGA
rnacentral:snRNA from 1 species